UUUCUUUUAUUAAAAAAGAAAUUGCCUUUCUUUGAACAGAUGAGAAGUGAGGGACCCUUUUGAAGCUUAAGAAAAAAAGUGCUUCAUGAUUGAAGUCUCCCUGUUGAUAAAUAAGGGUGUAAUGCUCCUGAGCACAGAAUUAAACUCCAUCCUCUGGAGUCGAAUUAGAAGACGAGGAGUCCCCCCCAAUCAAUGUUUUGCUAUGUCUACAAAGCUGCACACAAAAAUGCAGUUGUGGCACUCCCCAGCUUCUCCUUGCUAUUAAGAUAUCAUGCACGCAGUGUCUUUCUACAUACAGAUCACCCAACCUGAGGCUGAGAUAUGUAUUGGUAAAUAAUCCCUGUUUCUUCAUGGGUCCUCAAAACUCAACAGUUUCCCUUCUGUCUUAAUAGUCAUUUUUAGAUAAGAGCUCUUCUCCUUACCAUGAUAGAUGGUAGCACUUGUCUAAUGAGGUCUGCCUCCGUAUUUAAUGAUUCUGUUUUCCAGGUUAUAAUUCUGUUUUCCAGGUUAUAAAUUACUUGCUUAAAUCGUGGGGCUCCUAUCGCUAACUGCAAAAUGAAGUUUUAAAGCCUUUGAACUCUUCAGUUCAAAGUUCUUCAGAGCAUAACAAGUAUGCACAUGGAAAAUCUCUGUAGUGUGGAAAAGAGAGCUGGGCCCUUGAGUUGAAGUUGGCUGAUUUGUCACAAGCUUUCUGCAGAGUGGGUAGGAGCAGGACUAACUCAAAAAGUUGAGGGCAGCUGUCAUUGCCUGAAGAGUCUGUGAAACGUGUGGGCACAUUUGCUGCUCCUUGCAGCUCUUGCAGGCAAUCCCAUAUUUGCCCGAGCGAGCUGCAGUACAAAUGAUGCUAUAAGGAGGGUAGCAUACAUGUUCUUUGUGUUUAACCAGUCUUCUGGGCUCUGCCAUUGCAGACCAGGCACUUUGAGAGCCCCUACCUGGUGUACCACGAGAAGAUCAAGACCAGCCGCGUGUUCAUUCGAGACUGCAGCAUGGUGUCAGUGUACCCACUGGUGCUGCUGGGAGGCGGGCAGGUUCACAUGCAGCUGCAGAAGGGAGAGUUUGUCAUUUCCCUCGAUGACGGGUGGAUACGGUUUGUGGCGGCCUCUCACCAGGUGGCUGAGCUGGUGAAAGAGCUGCGCUGUGAACUCGACCAGUUGCUGCAGGAUAAAAUCAAGAAUCCCAGCAUGGAUUUAUGCAUGUGCCCUCGUGGGUCUCGCAUCAUCGGUAUGAUUGUAAAGCUUGUGACCACACAGUAAUGUGUGAGUGGCUUUCUGUAAAGACGCAGCCUGCGUCGUUAGAGCCUGAUAAUAGACCAUGUAACAUCAGUGUCUUUAUGUAUUUGUUAUCUAAGAACACGGUGCUGAUCUCUGAAGACCGAGCUGAUAGUGAUGCUGUUGUCUGGUGUGGGUUUUUAUUUUCAGUUUGCAGAGAGCUUGCCUGUUGAUAACAGCAUGCCUUACAGUAGGAAACAGGAAAAUAGCAAAUUUUGCAGGAGUAGAAAUCAACUAUAAGAGCACAUUAUUCUGUGAAACAGUACAUUGGCAGUAAGGGAUUUUGUCACAAAACAUCUACACAGCUGCUUCUUAUAAUAAUGUCUGAAAGAAUCUGCUCUUAAAUUGGUUCAAACUCAAUUCUAAGUUUUGAGCGAGAGUUCACUGAGGCAGUUGGUCUUUAACUCAAAGCCCUUAAAAAGGGAGACUUGCUGUAGGAGUUCAGUUGGACUAACUUCCUGGAUCAGCACAGAAUUUGUUGUGGCUUACAUGUAUUACUGCAGGGAAAGGUGGGUAUUUCUCCUGAAAGAAGGGCCUCCUGAACUGUGGAACACAGCAGAGAGGGGGGGACUGCUGUAGCCCCCUAAAAAUUACUUUGCUGGAACGUACUGCUGAUCUUCUGUAGCUGCAUACCUGGAUGUCACUGCUUGGUUUUUCUGAGGUCUGGCAAAGAGCUGCUUAAAGCCAACUACUCUUGUAGAAUUUUAUAGCACUUCAGAGAAGUUCUUAGCGUGUUGUCAAGACAGUGUGCAGCCAUUAGCGGUAUGAGGUGGCAUCAUCAGAAGUGAUGCUGCUUCUGUGUACAGCUGGCAGUCACUCCUGUCCAGGGUCAACAACCAGCAGCUACGUGAAGGUUGGCUGCAGAGUGCAAUAGGAACAGAUCCCAUUUCUCACUUUGGACUUUUGUACACUUUCAAAAUGGUAUCCCUCUUCAAUAAAAGGAUUUUGCAACCAUCAA